rnacentral:rRNA from 1 species
GAUGAACGUUGGCGGCGUGCCUAAUACAUGCAAGUCGAACGAAGACUGUAGUAAUACUGUCUUAGUGGCGAACGGGUGAGUAACGCGUGGGUGACCUGCCCCGAAGUGUGGGAUAACAGUCCGAAAGGAUUGCUAAUACUGCAUAAUAUCCAAGAGAUUAGAUGCUUUUGGAUUAAAGGAGUAAUUCGCUUCGGGAGGGGCCCGCGUCCCAUCAGCUAGUUGGUAAGGUAAUGGCUUACCAAGGCGAUGACGGGUAGGGGACCUGAGAGGGUGGCCCUCCACAAUGGAACUGAAACACGGUCCAUACACCUACGGGUGGCAGCAGUAGGGAAUAUUAGUAAUGGGCGAAAGCCUGAACUAGCAACGCCGCGUGUGCGAAGAAGGCCUUCGGGUCGUAAAGCACCUUUUGAGAGGAUGAGGAAGGACGGUACUCUCAGAAUAAGUCUCGGCUAACUACGUG